rnacentral:misc_RNA from 1 species
GCCCAUUGUUUCACAUGGCCAUGGCGGUGGUUGACUCCAUGGUCUUCCUAUUCUUGUUACCGGUGGCUCUGUUCUUUAACCUGGCAGCUUCACAGUCAACCGGAUAUACAAACCAUACUGUUGGUGGUUCAGCUGGUUGGUUCUUUAACAUCAAAACUCAAAAGGCUUCUGCUGAUUACUCUGCUUGGGCUGCUAAACAGACCUUUAAUCUUGGUGACACUUUGGUGUUUAAUACAAACACCAACCAGACAGUUAUUCAAACAUACAAUGCAACCACCUAUAAGAACUGCACCGCGGAUUAUGCUUCAGAUGAUGACACAUUUCAGUAUCAAGGUGGCAGCAAUGAAUUUGGUAAAGCAAUGACAAUCACUGUUUCAUUGACCCUCGAGGGCCAACAAUACUAUUUCUCUGAUGCUGAUGAUGGGAGUCAGUGCCUGAAUGGAAUGGCAUUCGAGAUCAAAGUGGGGCAUGGUAUAGGACUUCCUCCGAGCCUCAACCAACCACCUCCUCCACCCUAUGUGGAACCACCAUCCACAGUUGAAGAUGCCGAGUCACCACCUAUCACCGUGGUAACCAGCAGCCCUAACGGUUGUGUGAGGAGCAGUGCUGGACUCUUCUUCGCGGUUUCUGUACUUGUAAUGUUGGCGUUGCAUUUGGUCUAAGGUGGAAAACUAUACUUCCUAGUUCCAACACAGAUUUGAGUGUUGGAGCUAUCCAUAUAUUUAUUGCUUAGAGAUGAGAGAAGGAAAAGGAGUUAAUUCAAAUUAUUACAGGUUUUUGUAUUGUAACAUAUUCAUUAUCACAUUUUUCAUUCAAUUGUCCUGUAUUUACCACAGGCAUAUUACAUGGAGCAAUAUACUUUAGCCUAGAAAAU